rnacentral:lncRNA from 1 species
UUCCAUAUACAAAUUUUAUUGCAAUACCUGUAUUCUAAACGUACAGAUGCAAUGACCCAUUACAGACUUUAAAACCUGCCCACAUAGAAAACUGAGAAGCUCAUUCUGUAUUACAGCCAAAGUUGGUAGGACUUCAAUAGGUGACAGGAAGCUUCUCCAGUCUCUCUCCAAGAACAACCAGGAUCCACCAUAUUUUUGGUCCAAGAUGUAUGCUUUAAGUUGGCAGCUGAGUCUAUGAACGAGUGUAUUUACCCCAGAUGUGCAGCAUAAAUACAGAAGCAAUAAAAAGGAGACUCAUGACCAAAACUGGAACAGGCCCAACUUUGAGCCCUGGGGAGUCCUCAGUGUAGAACCGCCACAUCCCACCAGUGCCUGUGGACGUGGCACGGCCCGCACUCCUCGUCCCACAGCUGGCGUUCUUCCUCUGCCGGACGGUGGAGCCGGCGGCACGGGGAGCCACGGCCUUGCUGGGGGAGCGGCCGGACGUACCGACGUUGGUAGCGCUGGGGCUCGGCCCGGGCAUCGCGGCGGCGCUGAUUGCAGUCGAUCAGUCAGCCGGCAGACACAGCUCCCCACAGCCACGUCCCUACCAGCAAUGGCGCCCCGCCC